UACGUAGGGGCCGAGCGUUGUCCGGAGUUAUUGGGCGUAAAGCGCGCGCAGGCGGCUUCGCGCGUCCGACGUGAAAGCCCCCGGCUCAACCGGGGAGGGUCGUUGGGUACGGCGGAGCUUGAGGGCGGUAGAGGUUGGUGGAAUUCCCGGUGUAGUGGUGAAAUGCGUAGAGAUCGGGAGGAACACCUGUGGCGAAGGCGGCCAACUGGGCCGACCCUGACGCUGAGGCGCGAAGGCGUGGGGAGCGAAAGGG
rnacentral:rRNA from 1 species